ACCAUAAACUCUCGAAAGCCCAAGUUAUCGAAAACCCGAACGCAAGCGAACGGUAAACCGAAUGGUCCCGAUUAGAAGUUAUCGAAUCUCGGCUCCUCCCCUCGUUAUUUGUAUUUUAAAUUGUAAACAAAAGUCAACGCAAUUUGUUUUUGGUGGAAAUAUACACUUAAAAUACUUUAAAAUGUAAAGUUAUCUUGCAAAAUUAGAACCUGAAAGCCUAGAAAUGCGGAAUCGGUACAAACCAAAAAUUUAACUUGUGAAUAACAUAGAAAAUAGAAGCCCUUAGUUUUGAUAUUUAUUUUAAAUGCUAGCCCAGACUGCCCAGUGGAGUUUUCAAAGAUAUAAGAAACACGGAAAUUAUUAGUAGUGUUCACCAUGAAUUCUUACAAAUUUCCAGAAAUUGAAAGGAAAUAGGAGGCGUGUGUUAAGCAAGAUUUUGUAGUGAUUAUGGAAGCCUAAAGUUGCAGGCCAUAUCCUUAUCAAAGCAAAAAGUCAAAAAUCUACAGCGUAUGAAUAGUAUGUAAACCUGAAGCCUGCAGCUGAGAUUGUGUUAGAAAGGGUUUCAACAUCAAACUAUACUGAACUCUAACCCUGAAAAUGUUAAUACAAAUCCAAAGCAAUUAUCAGCAUGGCA